rnacentral:rRNA from 1 species
AUUGAACGCUGGCGGCGUGCCUUACACAUGCAAGUCGAACGGCAGCACGGGGCAACCUGGUGGCGAGUGGCGAACGGGUGAGUAAUGCAUCGGAACGUGCCAUUGAGUGGGGAGUAACGUAGCGAAAGUUGCGCUAAUACCGCAUAUUCUGUGAGCAGGAAAGCAGGGGACCGCAAGGCCUUGCGCUCUUUGAGCGGCCGAUGUCAGAUUAGCUAGUUGGUGAGGUAACGGCUUACCAAGGCGACGAUCUGUAGCGGGUCUGAGAGGAUGAUCCGCCACACUGGAACUGAGACACGGUCCAGACUCCUACGGGAGGCAGCAGUGGGGAAUUUUGGUACAAAUGGGCGCAAGCCUGAUCCAGCCAUGCCGCGUGAGUGAAGAAGGCC